AGCGAACGCUAGGCGGCAGGCCUAAUACAUGCAAGUCGAACGGCUUCUUCGGAAGCAGUGGCGGACGGGUGAGUAACGCGUGGGAACGUGCCCUUUGGUACGGAACAACUGAGGGAAACUUCAGCUAAUACCGUAUGUGCCCUUCGGGGGAAAGAUUUAUCGCCAUUGGAGCGGCCCGCGUUAGAUUAGCUAGUUGGUGGGGUAAAGGCCUACCAAGGCAACGAUCUAUAGCUGGUCUGAGAGGAUGAUCAGCCACACUGGGACUGAGACACGGCCCAGACUCCUACGGGAGGCAGCAGUAGGGAAUCUUGCGCAAUGGGCGAAAGCCUGACGCAGCCAUGCCGCGUGAAUGAUGAAGGUCUUAGGAUUGUAAAAUUCUUUCACCGGGGACGAUAAUGACGGUACCCGGAGAAGAAGCUCCGGCUAACUUCGUG
rnacentral:rRNA from 1 species